rnacentral:rRNA from 1 species
UACGUAGGGACCAAGCGUUGUUCGGAUUUACUGGGCGUAAAGGGCGCGUAGGCGGCGUGGUAAGUCACUUGUGAAAUCUCUGAGCUUAACUCAGAACGGUCAAGUGAUACUGCUGUGCUAGAGUGCGGAAGGGGCAAUCGGAAUUCUUGGUGUAGCGGUGAAAUGCGUAGAUAUCAAGAGGAACACCUGAGGUGAAGACGGGGUUGCUGGGCCGACACUGACGCUGAUGCGCGAAAGCCAGGGGAGCAAACGGG